UCCAAGAUAAGGAACUGAGACGAGCUGCCCUGGAAGCAACAACAUUUGCAUGCAUGCGUAGAGCAGAAAACAUGGAUUCCAUGCAUCAAUAUCAGGCAUCUUGCGUCUCUAACCUCAUCACUCUGAGUCUGUAUUAACAUUAGAGGUACGUACGUCCUGGGUAUCUACAUUUGAGGCCAUUUGAUCCCUGGAAGGACUGUGCACCUCAGAGGCACAGAGCAGAGGAAAGGGUCUGCCGGACAAGCAGUUGGAACGUGUGAACCAACAGGUGCCGCGAAAAGACUCACGCCUCCCUCGAUCUACGUGCUGUUUUUGUUCUCCUAUACAGUCCGUUCCGUGACUCUGGGAGACUCAGGUGAAGAAGGAGGGUCCACACAAGCAGUAAACCCUUUGUGGCCCGAGGCCAAAAGGCGUGCUGAAGGACAUUGUUUUAGGGAAGAUGUGCCGUGCCUGUGUGUCUGACGGCCAGAACCCUCAACCUCUAUUAGUCACCUCUUGAGAGGACACCCAAAUCACAAUGGAUGCUGAGUAUGUCCUGUGCAACUGGAAAGACCACUUGUGGCCAGCAAGGGUUUUGUCCAGAUCCGGGGUCUCACCAAGAAAUAAGAGGAAAGGAGCACUUUCUCUAGAAGUUGAAAUACUCUCGGUAGAUGAAAAAAUUAAAGUGAAAAGCACAGACGUAAAGAUCCUAAACGAGUCUCAGAUUGAAUCCAUUACCUCCUUGCUAACAGCCCAGUCGAAGGCCAGUGUCCCAGCGGGACAGGAAGUGCCUUACAGAAACGCUCUUUCAGUGGCAUUGGAGAUUCUGAAGGAGAGAGCAGAUGUGCGCCCAGCAGGAGCAUCGGAUGAUCCAGAGACCACUACACCGUCCCGAAGGGGACCAAGAAAGCGAUCUCUUAAAGACUACCGGAAGGCCAAAGGGAUCUUACUGAGGCGUCUCAGGAAACG